UAAAAGAGGUUCUCCUAAAAAAUGCUCAACUGCUUCCAUGAUAGCAUGACCUACCAAGCCGUGAAGCGGAUAGCUGGAAUUCAUGAC